GACGAACGCUGGCGGCGUGCUUAAUACAUGCAAGUCGAACGGACAGACAGAGAGCUUGCUCUCUUGAAGUUAGUGGCGAACGGGUGAGUAACGCGUAAUCAACCUGCCCUUCAUAGGGGGAUAACAACGGGAAACCGUUGCUAAUACCGCGUACGAUUCAUGAACGGCAUCGUUUAUGAAUGAAAGGUGGCCUCUAUGUAUAAGCUAUCGCUGAAGGAGGGGAUUGCGUCUGAUUAGCUAGUUGGAGGGGUAACGGCCCACCAAGGCAAUGAUCAGUAGCCGGUCUGAGAGGAUGAACGGCCACAUUGGGACUGAGACACGGCCCUAACUCCUACGGGAAGCAGCAGUGGGGAAUCUUCCGCAAUGGACGAAAGUCUGACGGAGCAACGCCGCGUGAGUGAUGAAGGUCUUCGGAUUGUAAAGCUCUGUUAAUCGGGACGAAAGAGUUCUGCGUGAAUAAUGCAGAAAAGUGACGGUACCGGAAUAGAAAGCCACGGCUAACUACGUGCCAGCCGCCGCCGUAA
rnacentral:rRNA from 1 species